UCUAAUUUUUCAAAUAUUUUU
rnacentral:piRNA from 1 species